rnacentral:rRNA from 1 species
GCGGCGUGCCUAAUACAUGCAAGUCGAACGCUUCUUUCCUCCCGAGUGCUUGCACUCAAUUGGAAAGAGGAGUGGCGGACGGGUGAGUAACACGUGGGUAACCUACCCAUCAGAGGGGGAUAACACUUGGAAACAGGUGCUAAUACCGCAUAACAGUUUAUGUCGCAUGGCAUAAGAGUGAAAGGCGCUUUCGGGUGUCGCUGAUGGAUGGACCCGCGGUGCAUUAGCUAGUUGGUGAGGUAACGGCUCACCAAGGCCACGAUGCAUAGCCGACCUGAGAGGGUGAUCGGCCACACUGGGACUGGGACACGGCCCAGACUCCUACGGGAGGCAGCAGUAGGGAAUCUUCGGCAAUGGACGAAAGUCUGACCGAGCAACGCCGCGUGAGUGAAGAAGGUUUUCGUAUCGUAAAGUUCUGUCCUAUGGGAAGA